UUGAAAAGAACUUUGAAGAGAGAGUUCAAGAGUACGUGAAACCGUUCAGGGGUAAACCUAAGAAACCCAAAAGAUCGAACGGGGAGAUUCAUCGUCAGCGGCGUUGGCUUCGCGUCGGUCGGCGAUGUCCCGCGGAGUCCUCGCGGCUCGCGCGCGGGCACGCUACCGUGCGUCGAUGUCCGGCGCUCGUCGUCGUGCACUUCUCCCCAAGUAGAACGUCGCGACCCGCUGGGUGUCGGUCUACGGCCCGGGUGCGGUGUCUGUCGCGUCGCCGGUAAAACGGCACGCGACAAACCCCCGGUCGCCCGGCCGGCUGCUCGGCGGUACGCGCAAGGUAUCAGGCCGCACUCUUUACGGUGCGUCGAGACCGUCGCAAGCGCGCGCCACGGUACUCGGAGGUUACGGACUUCGCGCCGUCCCCGGUCCUGGCCCGCUGUUGGUUAAAGUACGGUACACCUUCGACAGGCCUGCGAACGUCUCUCGCGGUUGUUUUUCCGCGGGAGACCGAUACCGGUCGGCGACGCUACUGCUUUGGGUACUCUUAGGACCCGUCUUGAAACACGGACCAAGGAGUCUAACAUGUGCGCGAGUCAUUGGGACUAGCAAAACCCAAAGGCGCAAUGAAAGUGAAGGUCGGCCUUGGCGCCGACCGAGGGAGGAUGGGCCGCGUCGCGAUGCGGCCUCGCACUCCCGGGGCGUCUCGUUCUCAUCGCGAGAAGAGGCGCACCAAGAGCGUACACGUUGGGACCCGAAAGAUGGUGAACUAUGCCUGGUCAGGACGAAGUCAGGGGAAACCCUGAUGGAGGUCCGUAGCGAUUCUGACGUGCAAAUCGAUCGUCGGAACUGGGUAUAGGGGCGAAAGACUAAUCGAACCAUCUAGUAGCUGGUUCCCUCCGAAGUUUCCCUCAGGAUAGCUGGCACUCGGCCGUUCUACGGAACGCGCGCGAGUCUCAUCUGGUAAAGCGAAUGAUUAGAGGCCUUGGGGCCGAAACGACCUCAACCUAUUCUCAAACUUUAAAUGGGUGAGAUCUCUGGCUUUCUUGAACGUUGAAGCCACGAGAAUCUCGGAUCAGAGUGCCAAGUGGGCCAUUUUUGGUAAGCAGAACUGGCGCUGUGGGAUGAACCAAACGCAGAGUUAAGGCGCCUAACUCGACGCUCAUGGGACACCAUGAAAGGCGUUGGUUGCUUAAGACAGCAGGACGGUGGCCAUGGAAGUCGGAAUCCGCUAAGGAGUGUGUAACAACUCACCUGCCGAAGCAACUAGCCCUGAAAAUGGAUGGCGCUGAAGCGUCGAGCCUAUACUCUGCCGUCAGCGGCAAGUGGGGCGGAGGUGUAACAGCCACCGUCACGAAGCCCUGACGAGUAGGAGGGUCGCGGCGGUGUGCGCAGAAGGGUCU
rnacentral:rRNA from 1 species